GCCUAGUUAGCUUAGUUGGUAGUGCGUCUGCCUUGUAAGCGCUAGGCCGCGGGUUCGAUUCCCGCCCGGGGCC
rfam:Asian citrus Psyllid, Diaphorina citri - Florida Strain, whole genome shotgun sequence.